GAGGUGAUUGGCACCAAUCCAAUUGAUUAUUUUUAAUCCAAUCACUUAGUGAAUUAAAACUUACUUUUAAUUUACCUUCUUCUUUGACGACUACAUUUAAUCAUCUAGAAGAACUCACAAGCCAUGAGUGACAUCUAACCAUAUAUCAUGGCUACCCAAGCUAAUGAAGAAUUUGUUCGGAGAACCUAUUCAGUUGGAAUUACAAUGUAAUUCGAUCCUUCUCUAAAACAAUACUCUCAAUCACAUUACUAGGGUAUGGAUAUUUUAUGUCAAACCCCUAAUGUGAUUAUUCCUUCUUAUAUGAUUCAUUUGAGUCGUAUAGGAACGCUUUCCUUUAUUACGCUCGAUACUUCGGCCGAAGAUUCCCGAAUCAUAUCUUAGAGUAUUCAUCCGCUCUUAACGAGGAUUAGAGAUCCCUUGUUGCGCAUUCACUUGCCUCCAUGAUUAAAUGGCUUAACCCCGACUAUGCCGUGGACACUCGCAGAUGGAGUGACUUUGACAUAAUCAAAGAUCAAGUACCUAACCACAAGACAACUAUGAUGCCUCAGGUCAAAGGACUACUUACAUUAUUCCAACCAUUAGAGUUACUUGCUUGACAUGUGAGUAGACCUCCAUGCAAGUACUCUCGUUCGAUUGUGUUCAGUGAGCUCAUUCCCUUAAUGAGCACCUACAUACCUGUCUUAGUGUCAUUACACGAAUGGGACGAGACUUUCCAUCCUUCCAAUUGAAGGGGACAUAGUAUGUACUGGUCUUUGCAUUGUCAGCAUCCCUUUGACAAUCAUAUGACCAGGAACCUUUUUGGACAUGAUGGUUAUGUGAAGAAGGUCUCUGUAGUCUAACAUCAUUAGAUUACUUCUUCCAUCGAUCCAUUGUCCAUGGAUUCACUAUUUAGGACAUAUAUCGUUUAUUGAGAUAGUCCUAAUUAGUAUCUUUGCCUUUUGAUGUAUAAGAGUCAUCUAUACACCCAUUCAUUGUCCUGAAAGGUUUCUUCCAAAGAUUGACUUUUAAGGCAUAUUUCCAACACCAAUUGGAUAGUAGACAUGAAAAAACUAUCAAUUAAACAAUGUGAUUAAGAGUAUUGUAUUAGAGAAUGACCGUAUUGCAUUGUAGUUGUAACUGGAUAGGCUCUCCAACCACUUCUACUACUUGGGUAGCCAUGACAUACUACUAGGUGUCACUCAUGGUUUAUGGAAGCCCUGAAGGUUAGCAAACACUAAUCUUCAUCAAAGGGAGAAUUGAAAUGUGGUUUCAAUUCACAAUCGAUCGUUAUGAGUAACAAUCGCCCACUGCCUCACUAAAUGGAACCUAAUGGAUCAUACACCAAGUAAGGAUGAAUGUGGAGAAAUAUAAAUGAAAUGGAUAAGCAAUUAAACAGUUUAAUUGAGAAUGGUAAAGAUUAAUUAAUUAGUUAAUUAAUUAUGUGAAAGGUUCGUAUUAGGCUUUUAAGUUAGUUUCGGGUUACAGAACCCAAAAGGGUUUUUGGUUCAUAAGACCCAUUGAGUUUAAGCUUUAUGACAACUAAUCUAAAUGGGAAAUUAGCCCAAUACAAAGCCAAAACUGGCCAAACUAAAGAGAGGGUGAACUUGGCUUAGUUGCAAGUUUUUCACUCACUUGUGAGGUGGUAGAAAAGCAUCUUUAUAACCAUUCUCUCACUAGGGUUUUCUUGAGGUAAAGAAGAGAAACUUUUUCUCUCUGUCUCUCUAUAAAGGCUGGCAUUCCUAGGGGAGUUCACUAGCAUCCAUCUUCCUCUAGAUAAUCCCUUUCAUCUUCACACCAUCAUCAUUGGUGUGGAGACUUAGAGGUACCAAACCUUUGGUACUUUUGUAGAUCAUUUCCUCACAUCUUCUGUCACAUCCCGGCCCAGGGGUGACGAAGCCAACACAGCUCAAUUCAGAGUCCUAGUGGACAUUCCGGGUCGGGGUGUGUCAUCUUCAAGAAGCAAAGGAACAAAGAUUCAAGGAGCAAAGAGCCAAGAAGAAAGGAAAGAGCCAAGGAGCAAGGAGGUGACUUGAAGGCCCUCCACUUGGGUGAAUCCCUUGUGUAAACAAGGAUAAGAAAAGCUCAAGUUUCUCUUUCUUUUGUAAAGAGUCUUUAGGUUCACCAUAUACUAGGCUUUGAAUUUCUUUGGGUCAAAGAAUUGUUUUGAAUGCAUGCCUACUUGAAGAUUUAUUUGUAUGCUUGUAUGUUCAAAUAUUCUCACAUGUUCUUAGUGUUGAGUAUUAAAGUUGCUUCUUUGUAAAUGAACCAGUGUAUCACCUUAAUCUAAUCUUUUGCUAUUCUCUAUGUUGUUUUGCAUCUUGCUGGAUGUAUCUAGAACUAUCUAAUGCCUAGUCUUUUGGGGUCUUGACAAUUGUAGUUAGACAUUAAAUAGGAAGGUUGAUUAAGAGUCCCUUGUACGCUUCUCUUAUAUAUAGUGUAUCUUUUGCAACAACCUUUAUUUUUUAGUUCUUUUUUCUGAUUUGAUCCUUUCACAAUUUGGUGUUUGAUCAUGGGCUAGAGUAAUCUCCGUUAAUUUGUUUAGUUUCUCAUGGUACCAAAACCAUAAGGGUGGUAGCUGGUUUUCUGUUUAAAUCCGUGAAGAGAUCAACCAUUUUUUUUCUCAAAAUGGAGUCUACGAGUCGUGUUGCUGGCCUCGACAUAGAGCUGCUUAAUCAAUUGAGCCACAAGAUUUAGAGAUGUUGUAUGGAGUUUUUUAUCUGAUUAGAGAAGAUCUGUGGGAUGUUGUUGGUGGUGCGUAUACAACCAAACCCGAAGAACGUGAAGAUAAUGCUAAAGAUUUGAAAUGGUGGAUAAUGACUAAUGGGAAGGCUGAGUUUGUGUUGAAGAGAUCCAUUUCUCAUGGUCUAUUUGACCAUAUUAUCAAGUGUAAGGCAACAAAUGACAUAUGGGAGACUCUUAACAGGUUGUUUGACAAGAAAGAUAUUGGGAGACUACAAAUGUUGGAGAAUGAAUUGGCAAAUACCACCCAAGGUGAUCUGUCCAUUUCUCAAUUAUGUGUUUUGAGAUUUCUCUUUUAGACCCAGACGAACCAGUGUCUGAAGCACGAAUCCGACGACAUAUUGUUCAUGGAUUGAAAAAGGAAUACACUCUUUUUGUAACUUCUAUUCAAGGAUGGGAUAUCAACAACUAUCUUUAGAAGAAUUUGAGAAUCUUUUGUUGUGUCAAGAAACAUCAGCUCAUCAAAUGGCUGGGAUGUUUGUGGAUGCAAAUUUUCGUCGUCUUCUCAUUUUGACGAAAAUGCACCUACAAAAUAAUAACACCUAAGAUUAAGGCCAAAUACCUCACGUGCCCACGAUGAAGGGGGGGGGCUUUGGCCGAAGAAUCUCUGAUGCCAAAGUUAGAAUUUUGAAAAGAAUGUUUAGGAGUUUAUGGGUUGCAAAAUGGCUUAGCAUUUUAGUGGGAUAAGAAAGGUAUUUAUAGGAGAGUGGACGACUCUUUGGAUGGAGAGUGGCCGACCAUAUAUGGUGUAAUUGGGUGAACAAUUGCAAGAUAUUAUGUGAAAUAAUAUCUUGCAAUUAACAUGGCAAUUAUUCAUUCAUUAAAUAUGAAGUUUUGGGAGUUACCUUUUGAAUAAAAUCAAUAAGGGAUUGAUGAGAAGUGAUGAGAGGGAUUUGAAUAAUAACCAUAUUGAUCACCUUUGAAUCUUUCUUGACAUUAUUGUCUGUUGCAUGUGUGUGGGAAUCCCGGUGUGCCUCGAGGGUAAUUUCGUCAUUCUUACCCAAAAGUCCUCACGUCACCUCCAUAAUUGUUUGGAUUAUUUUUGGCUCUACAAAUUGUCACAGCCCAUCUCGAAAGAUAUUCUCUGAUGGUGUGAAAUGUCUAAUUUACCCUUAAAAGUUUGUGGUGUUGUGUGGUUUAAGUUGUGUUGUGGACCAAUUAUUUUCUUUCCUAAGUAUUUGGACCCAAUUAGUGAAGGAAAUUUUGUGAAAAACAUGUUCAUUUGAGCAACAUCUAUAUAGCAUGCAAUUAACAAUUAAAGGCGGAAUCAUGCUUGCAUGCACUCAAAACAAAACAUCACCCAUGAAAUUCAAAGCCUAGUAGUUAGGUGAACCAAGACUCAACUCAAAACAAAGUGAGUUGAGAAAUUUAUACCUUUGUUGAUUCCUCUUUGCAUAAGCAAAGGAUAAUCACCCAAGAGAUAGGGCCUUCAUUCCUUGCUUCUUAUCUCCAUGGAUUUGGAUGGAAGAAUUGGUUUCUCCAAGUUCUCAAAGUUGAAAACCUCUAAGUCUCCACACCAAGGAAAGAUUGAUGAAGAAAUGAGUGACCUAGAGGAAGUAAGAUUGCUAGCUAAAUUCCUCUAGGGUGGCCGGCCUCUUAGAGAGAAAAGAGAGCUUGUGUUCUCAUCUUUUCUCCAAAAGAAACCCUAAAUGAAUUUUGGCUAUAAAGUCAUAUUUAUACCUACAUUCAUUGGAGUGGCAAACUUGUAAUAAGUCCAAAACCCACUCCUUUAUCAAUAUGGCCGGCCAUAGGGUUUUAUUGGGCUAUUUGGGCCUUUGUGAAUUAUUAGUCAUUAAGUUGUCAAACAACUUAAGUCAAUGGGCUUGACGUUCGAAGCCCAUUGGGCCUUGAGGCCCAAAACUAACCCGAGGUCUUUAACGAACUUUAUUUGUUUGAUUAAUUAAUCAUAUUAAUUAAUCCUUGCCAUAAAUAAUUAAACCAUUUAAUUAUCCUUACUCAUCUCCUUGUUUCUUCAAUCUCUACCUUACACGGUGUACGAUCCAUUAGGUUCCUUUUAGCGAGGCAGUGGGCGAUUAGAACUCUUUCAAAUUGAUUGUGAAUUGAAACUUACUUUCAAUUCUCCCUUUAGUGAUUAUACACGUUUAAGGCUUCCACAAACCAUGAGUGACACGUAGCAGUAUGUCAUGGUUACCCAAGCUAAUCAGAAGAGGUGGAGAACCUAUUCACUUUAGGAUUACAAUGCAAUACGGUCUUUCUCUAAUACAAUACUUUUGAUCACAUUGUUUGGUUUGAUAGUUUAUUCAUGUCUACUAUCCAAUGUGAUUCAUUUACUUAUAUGAUUACCUUGAAUGUCAUUUGGAACGACUUCCUAAAUCUCAUUCAUACUCUAGCUAGAGAUUCUUAAUCAUAUCAUAGAGUAUUCUCCCUCAAACGGUUUGAAGGUUAGAGAUCCCUUGUUGCGCAUUCACUUGCCUCCAUGGCUAAGUGGCGUAACCCCAACUAUGCCGUGGACACUCGCGAAUGGAGUGACUUUGACAUAAUCAAAGAUUAAGGACCUAACCACAAAACAAUUAUGAUGCCUCAGGUCAAAAGACUACUUUGCAUUAUCCCAACCAUGAGUUCUCAUGUGACAUGAGUAUGAGAACUCUUCAUUGAUCAUGGUGUCAAUCACACCAAUGACUCGAGACCAGUCACUCUCCAUGAGAGAAGACACAACACGUACUGAUCUUAAUGGACUGUCAAUGCCCAAUUGGCAAUCCUAUGAUCAAGAACGUUUAAGAUAUGUAUACGAAAGAGAAUGGUCUCAUAAAUCUAACUUGUUUAAAUUACAUUCUCCUAAUUACAUAUUCCUUGGACUUAUCGUUUAAGCAUAUAACAUUUAUAUGAGACGGCUUAAAACAAUAAUCUUUUCCCUUGACAUUAAACCAGAUUAGUUUAACAUGUGAAAUGUCCGUAAAGUAUCAUCAUAUGAUUGGUUUUAGGGUACAUUUCCAACAAUCUCCCACUUGCACUAGAGCCAAUCAACUUGGUCAUCAGUGAUGAUACCUCUUCUUUAGUCAUUUCAAAAAUGGCUGUGUAGUAGGCCUAGACAAUGGAUAUCUAUAUGUUAUCCAUAGAAGCAACCUUGAGAAUAACGACGUCACCAUUAUACAUGAUUCUCAAUCAUGUGGUUCAGUCUCUCAUUUGAGUUUAGAUCUUGAUGAGACCUUGAUUCCCUGGCUUGAGCUAUCGCGCCAUUAGUGUCGGUACACUAGAGACACUUUCUGGUUGGAACCGAAUAGAGAGUUCAUAAAUGAACUUUCCCAUCCAAACAACAUUGUUGUAAGCUUCUAUAUGGCAAUAUAUUUUGCAUUCAUAAUGGAACACACUAAAGUCAUUACUUUUAAUGUUUCCAUCCAAAUAUCUCUUUAGUCAUAAUAAAGAGAUAUCUGAUUUUCUCUUCAUUCAUAAUGAAGAAACAUCCAAUGAUGGAUUAGAUUCAUAAUCUAAUACAUUUACGCAUCCUUUACGUUACUCUAAUUCUUCCUCAUUCUUUGAGGAAUCUAUCCUUCAGUAUUUCUUAAAUACUUAAGGACUCACUUGACAGUUGCCAUGGUUUUGAUCCUGGGCUUGCAUUGAUAUUGUCUUGUACCGAUCUAGGUACAAUUCAUAUCAAUGUUUUUCAUACAAUAUGAAAUACGUAAAUCACCUUUCUGCGUAUGCAUAAAGGAUUCUAUUUAUGCAUUAUGUUUCUUUAGGAGUCAAAAGGGUACGUUUGAGAAGAGCUACCUCCUAGUCUUACUAGAGUUGUUCUUCUGAUUGAAGUUUAUCAUCAUAUGAGAAACUUCCUAGCAUCUUUUGUCUAUCAUUAGGGAUUGAUAUAAUCCAAUUAUAUCUUGAAAUCUAUUAUUGUAGAUUUCCAUCCCAUGUAUAUAGACUAUGUCUCCCAUAUCCAUUCUAUCAUUAUAGAAUGUUUAAAGUCAUAACUUUAACGAAGAAGUAUUCUUUUCAUUUCCAAAAUUAAUAUAUCAUAUAUGUGUAUAUAUAUAUAUAUAUAUAUAUAUAUAUUUAAAUUUAGGAACUUGAUUAACUCCCACUAAUCUUUUGUAAACCUAGUAAACAAAAGAUUCAUUUACAUCUUUAUGAGAAAUCAAACAAUUUGAUCUUUCUCUCAUAAGACGUUUAUAGCUCCCACUAGCUUGCUAAGAUCCAUGAUGGAUGG
rnacentral:lncRNA from 1 species